AUUGAACGCUGGCGGCAGGCCUAACACAUGCAAGUCGAGCGGAGCGGCGGACGGGUGAGUAAUGCCUAGGAAUCUGCCUGGUAGUGGGGGAUAACGACCGGAAACGGGAGCUAAUACCGCAUACUAUCAGAUGAGCCUAGGUCGGAUUAGCUAGUUGGAGGGGUAAAGGCCCACCAAGGCGACGAUCCCUAGCUGGUCUGAGAGGAUGAUCAGUCACACUGGAACUGAGACACGGUCCAGACUCCUACGGGAGGCAGCAGUGGGGAAUAUUGGACAAUGGGCGAAAGCCUGAUGCAGCCAUGCCGCGUGUGUGAAGAAGGUCUUCGGGUUGUAAAGCACUUUAAGUGGGGAGGCGUUACCCGCAGAAGAAGCACCGGCUAACUCCGUGCCAGCAGCCGCGGUAAUUC
rnacentral:rRNA from 1 species